GGGCACUUCGGUGCUAGUGGCAGACGGGUGAGUAACACGUGGGAACGUACCUUUCGGUUCGGAAUAAUUCAGGGAAACUUGGACUAAUACCGGGAUACGCCCUUUGGGGGAAAGAUUUAUCGCCGAUAGAUCGGCCCGCGUCUGAUUAGCUAGUUGGUGAGGUAAUGGCUCACCAAGGCGACGAUCAGUAGCUGGUCUGAGAGGAUGAUCAGCCACAUUGGGACUGAGACACGGCCCAAACUCCUACGGGAGGCAGCAGUGGGGAAUAUUGGACAAUGGGCGCAAGCCUGAUCCAGCCAUGCCGCGUGAGUGAUGAAGGCCUUAGGGUUGUAAAGCUCUUUUGUCCGGGAAGAUAAUGACUGUACCGGAAGAAUAAGCCCCGGCUAACUUCGUGCCAGCAGCCGCGGUAAUACGAAGGGGGCUAGCGUUGCUCGGAAUCACUGGGCGUAAAGGGCGCGUAGGCGGACUUUUAAGUCGGAGGUGAAAGCCCAGGGCUCAACCCUGGAAUUGCCUUCGAUACUGGAAGUCUUGAGUUCGGAAGAGGUUGGUGGAACUGCGAGUGUAGAGGUGAAAUUCGUAGAUAUUCGCAAGAACACCAGUGGCGAAGGCGGCCAACUGGUCCGAUACUGACGC
rnacentral:rRNA from 1 species